rnacentral:tRNA from 1 species
GGCCCGGUGGUGGAACUGGUAGUCACCCCGGUCUCAGAAGCCGGUGCCGUAAGGCGUGAGGGUUCGACUCCCUCCUGGGCCAC